AUACGUAGGGGGCAAGCGUUGUCCGGAUUUACUGGGUGUAAAGGGCGCGCAGGCGGGUUAGCAAGUCAGAGGUGAAAUCCUACAGCUUAACUGUAGAACUGCCUUUGAUACUGCUAAUCUUGAGUACGGAAGAGAGAGACGGAAUUCCAGGUGUAGUGGUGAAAUACGUAGAUAUCUGGAAGAACAUCAGUUGCGAAGGCGGUCUCUUGGUCCGAUACUGACGCUCAGGCGCGAAAGCGUGGGUAGCAAACAGGAUUAGAUACCCCGGUAGUCC
rnacentral:rRNA from 1 species